GGGAACGCGGUCCUGCGGCGCGUGUUAUACGUUGGGUGUGCGGUGUUAGUCGUAAUUCGUUGGGCUAAAGCUGGCGCAUGGGGUUGUGUAAGACCGGCGUGAAUUCCCCGGGCUUAACCUGGUAACUGAGCUUGUGUCUGCCAGGCUAGAGUACGGCAGAGGGGGGUGGAAUUCCACGUGUAGCAGUGAAAUGCGUAGAGAUGUGGAGGAACACCAAUGGCGAAGGCAGCCCCCUGGGUCGAUACUGACGCUCAUGCACGAAAGCGUGGGUAGCAAACAGGAUUAGAUACCCGAGUAGUC
rnacentral:rRNA from 1 species